rnacentral:lncRNA from 1 species
GGCCCGCCCCUCGCAGCCUUGCCGCGCCCCGUGCGCCCUGUCCGCCCCUCGCUCGCAUUGCAGGCAUCCUGAGUCUCGGCCCUUUUCGCCAAAUCGCUGCUCUGCCGCGCGCCUACGCAAGGAAAGAUUCAAGGGUCCCUCCACUUCAGGGAGUGGAGCCCGCGCCUCGGCACGGAUCAGCUGUGCGUCUCCUUUGGCCUACUGGCUCCUCUGCUUGUGUCUAUAGCUAGCUGGACGCAUCGUGACUUUAUCUUCUCAUCUUUCCUGGCGCCCCCAGACGCAUUUCCUGGUCCCUCGAGGCAGCGGCGUCUGGGGAGUGCACUUUGCACAGACAGGGAAACCGAGGCACUCAGCGGUCUCCAAUGGAGACGCUGUAAUCGCAUUCCACGACCAGCUAGCGCUAUAAGCGCUGCCUCUAAAGCGGAAGGCCUCCCAGUCCUUCUCGACAGGAAGCAAUAUUUGCAUAUCUAAGGAGAACAAGAUUCGGCAAUGUGCUCCGGGAGCAAGUGCAGGCAUGGAACGGUAUGGGCUGGAGGGGGACAGACCUUCAGAGGCGGCUGCCCGUUCCCUGUAGUGUCACAUAAGAUUUUUAGAAGAUAGGAGUUUUCACAGUGGCGGCAGAGCCCUCUGCUAAAUCCUCAUAUUAGAUGUCAAAGGUGGCAUGUCAUUUGACCCAAUGGCUUUUUUAGUCAUUUAUCUUCCUAACACCUAUGAGAGGGCUACAGUUACCAAAAUGGCAUGGUACUGGUACAUAAACAGACACACAGACCAAUGGAACAGAAUAGAGAACCCAGAAAUAAGACUGCACACCUACAACUGUCUGAUCUGUGACAAACCUGAUGAAAACAAGCAAUGGGAAAAGGUUCCCUAUUCAACAAAUGGUGCUGGGAUAACUGGAUACUCAUAUACAAAAGACUGAAACUGGACUUUUUCCUUAACCAUAUACAAAAAUUAACUCAAAGUGGAUUAAGGACUUAAAUGUAAAACCCAAAACUGUAAAAGCCUGGAAGACAACCUAGGCAAUACCAUUCAGGACAUAGACACAGACAAAGAUUUCGUGACAAAAAUGCCAAAAGCAAUUGCAACAAAAGCAAAAAUUGACAAAUGGAACCUAAUUAAACUACAGAGCUUCUGCACAGCAAAAGAAAUUAUCAACAGAGUAAACAGAUAACCUACAGAAUGGGAGAAAUUUUUUGCAAACAGUGCAUCGACAAAGAUCUAAUAUCUAGCAUCUAUAAAGAACUUAAACAAAGUUGCAAGAAAAAAAAAUCACCCCAUUAAAAACUGGGCAAAGGACAGGACAUGAACAGACACUUUUCAAAAGAAGACAUACAUUUGGCCAACAAUUAUAUGAAAAAAGCUCAACGUCACUGAUCAUUAGAGAAACUCAAAUCAAACCACAAUGAGAUACUGUCUCAUACCAGUCAGAAUGGCUAAUAUGAAAACGUCCAAAAAUGACAGAUGCUGGUGAGGUUGUGGAGAAAGGGAACACUUUACACGGUUGGUGAGAGUGUAAAUUAGUUCAGCCAUUGUGGAAGACAGUGUGGUGAUUCUUCAAAGACCUAAAGACAGAAAUACCAUUCCAUUCAGCAAUCCCAUUACUGGGUAAUAUACCCAAAGGAAUAUAAAUCAUUCUGUCAUAAAGAUGCAUGUGUGUAUGUUUACUGCAGCACUAUUCACAAUAGCAAAGACAUGGAAUUAACCUAACAUCAAUGGUAGACUGGAUGAAGAAAAUGUGGUACAUAUACAUUGUGGAGUACUAUGCAGCCAUAAAAAAGAACAAGAUCAUUUACUUUGCAGGGGCUUCAAUGGAGCUGGAGGCCAUAUCCUUAGCAGCUAAUGCAGCAACAGAAAACCAAAUAUUGCAUGUUCUCACUUAUAAGUGAGAGUCAAAUGAUGAGAACACAUAUAGGGAAACAACACACACUGAGGCCUAUUUGAGGGUAGAGGGUGGAAGGAGGGAGAGGAUCAGGAAAAAUAACUAAUGGGUACUGGGCUUAAAUACCUGGGUGAUGAAAUAAUCUGUACAACAAACCCCCAUGACACGAGUUUACCUAUGUAACAAACCUGCACAUGUACCCUUGAACUUAAAAUAAAAAUUUAAAAAAAGAAAAUAGGUUGCUUGACUCUGCACCUUUCCUUCUCUGCUUCUCACUUCCCAACUGUUCUAAUUUCAUAUGGGAAUCCAUGCAGUUAUGGAGAAUCCACCUUCAGCAAUGGGAAUGAACCUAGCACCACAUGACCUGGGCUGGAUCAAUCAUCACAUACUAUCCCCUGACCCAGUGAUUGGUUCAGGGAUGGACAUGUGACCUAAGAGAGUGUGGUUAGAGUAAACCUCAGGACUUCUGCUGAUAACAUUGGCAAAAAGAUUUUUUUUUUAAAUGAAUGAGGGCAUGUAGCCUCACAGAACAGCUGGAAGCCAUUUUGCAACCACAGAGAUCUGCCAAAGUCUCCCUAAGAUGAAGAAACACUGAGAUAGCAGAGCCAGGAAAUGGUGAAGGGAAUGUUGGUCCCUGGUCAAGUUGUUUGAGCUAGCCCUGAAGUUUUUCAAAUCUCUGUGGGCUUUUCAAUUGCAUGAGCUAGUAAUUUCCCUUUAUUACUUAAGCCAAUGUGAACCAGCUUUUCUGUUACUUAGAACCAAAAACAUUCUGCUACAUCAUUGAUACACGUCAAACACCCCCUUCCUUUUACAGAAGAAAAGACUAAAUCUCAUGGAUGCUACGUGGCUAGUUAGGAGGAAUUGCCUUCCCAGUUCCAGGCCUUUCUCCUUUUACUACUCUAGCCACUUGUGAUGGGUUUGGUAACAAUGAGUAAAAUGUGCAUUCUCCUUAUUUCUAACCACGGAUUGGAUAUGUUCAGAAAUAUUAAAACUGAUUUUCCUCAAGUGUAUCUUCUGGCAAUUAAUGUCAUUGCUUUAUAGCCACUCUGUACUACGGGCCCUUGUGAUUCAUUAGAAAAAACAAAGGAUCAAAUAGUUAGAGAAGGUAUAAGGACCUUGUUUAAAAUUUUAUUUAAUUUGCAGCUAAUUUACCAGCAACUUAGGCUCAACCACGUAUGCUGCUUUGCUAGUUUCUUCAAAACUUGUCAUGCACUUUCAUUUCUUGGUAAUCAUCCCUCAUUACCAUUUCUUAUCUUUCAAAAACACAGCCUCACCACACUGUAUUCUUACCUUUGGUGCCUCCCUCUACAGCUAGAAUUUCCAGAUUCUGUGGGCUCUUCCUCUGUAAACUCUAAAAAUCCUUCCAUUUUUAUCUAUACAUACUAUUUCCCCCACUCUAACAGAUCUUACCUAUCACCAACCCUAAAAUUACCUAACAAAAUGCUCAUCACAUCUUCAAGGAAAUGUCCCACAGUGAGAGAAAAGAGAAAGGAACCUGUGUUUAUUGUGCUAGGAAGAUACUAGAUACUUUACAGACAUUAACUCAUUUAAUUUUCAUGACCACACCAUGGUAAGUAGGUAGUAGUAUCUCAGUCUAAAAAUAAGGAAACUGAGGUUGGGUGAGUCAUAGGGUUGAAUUCCAAACCUAGGUGUGUGCAGUUCUAAAGAUACUUUCUUCCACUGCUUCUGUUGGACAAUAGAUUUUGCCCCUUUUGUACCAGCUCCAAAGGAUAGUGACCGCCUGGAUCUCGUGUUGAGAAGACUGAAGCCUCAUCCAGGUUGACAGGGAAAGACAAAAGGAUGUCUUGCCAAAGCUUGCCAAGGGGGAAAGUGGCAAUCCACACACCACUUAUUUCACAUUUCUUCAGGCCUGUGCCUGGGGCAGUUCUAGAGGUUUCCCAGGAGAAGGACAGGUGCACCAGGGAGUCUGGCUAUAAAGUUUGUACACUAGAAUCUGUUGGCAGAUUCUGUUGCUUAAAGUUGAGUUUGCAUUCAUACUUUAUAUCUGAAGAAAUGGGAAGUUAGGGAGUUAACCACUGUCUAUUGGGAAGUGAUUCAUGAAUCAGAACAGGUGAGAAUGUCAGGCUCUGAAAUGAACAGCACACUUCUGUAUGGAAUGUACUGGGGCAGCAUACCUGCCUUCUUUCUCAGAUCAAUGUUGACACACUUAAAUUUGUGAAUAAGGCCUUCCAGGAUAUCUUGUUUAGGAAGAACCAGUUCACUUGCUAGUAUCUAGGCUUUCUAGGUAUCACGAGGGCUUUCUGUCAAAGCAUAAACAAGCAGUGAGAAAUCAUCAGUGUUCUCUCUCUGAAGAGAGAGACACCAGGAAAGGAGAGAGGGUAGCAAGUUAGCAGGCAUGGAAAGCUGCUGCUUUGCAGAUGUGUUCAUCAGGCAUAAUCCUUAGCUGGAUGUUAGACAGUACCAGAAGUUGCAUGGUGACUUGUCUGAUGGUUGCAAAGAUAUUGGUCCUCAUGUGGGAUUAUUCAAGAUAUUCAGAAGGGAAGAAGCUGAAUCUGGUUACAAAAGGUGUUCCUUAAAUACGUAAUGAAUGAAUGAAUAAACAGUUCAAUGGAAAUUGGGGCAAAUUAAGGAUUCAGUAGAUGUGAGGUGUAUUUGUCUCAUGUCCUCAUCUGAUGAACAUCUACCAUAUUCAGUUGUCUAGUGAGGACUCUUUUAGUGUAGAAACCAAGGAGGCACAUUUGGGGUUCAUUUAGAGAUGGGGUAUUUGGGGCUGGGGGGAAGCCAGCAUAUGAAUGAUGGGCUUCACCAGGAGACAAAGGGCAUCUGUCUAAGGGAUGGAUGCUGAGGGUGGACCUGGCAGGCUGAGCAGGUGAAACUCUUCCAUUGGAGCAGACUGUGGGUUUAUUUGAGCUUAAGAAAAGGAGGUCAUUCCCAAGAAUGAAUAGCAGUGGAUUUGUAGACUUUGAAAUUAACAGAUCAAAGACACCAGAUCUCUGUAGAGAACUUAAUAUGAUCUCUAGAUUCUGAAGCUCCAAUUCUCAGCCCUGGCUGCACCCUAGAAUCACCUGGGAGCUUUUCAACCCUACCACUGCCAGGGUUUCUCCCCCAGAGCUUUGGAUUCAGGCAGUUCAGAGUGAGGCCCUGGAAUCAGUAUUUUCAAAAAGACCUCCAAGUGGCUCUGAGAAUAUCACUGCAGUUGAGACUGUCCACUCUAGACAUAACUCAAAGCAGGCAAAUUUUCAGGAUUCCAUGGCUAGACUAUGACAUUUCCAACAACCUCAAGAGAGACAUUUUAGGAUUAUUCAUUCAUACUGUGUGCAUCCUUGGUUUCUCACUAGCCCCUGUUCUUAAGGCCUGGCAGAUUCCCAGGUGACUUCUAUCCAUGAGAGUGUCCCAAGAAGGGCCACUGGGAAACACACUUAUAGAGAGUUUGGAUUAUGAUCCCAAAAGACACAUUCCUGAAUGCCAUCAUCCCCGAGGUUGAAAUCCUGAAAGAUCAAAAUUUCUAAAGACUAAAUCCUUAACAUCUAAAAUCCUGAAAAUCACAAUCAUAGGAUAGUUGCAUCAUGUUAGGUGAAACUGUUACCUUGUUGUGGUCUUUAUUUGGAAAUUAAGUAUGGUUUAAGGAGAUGCAUAUAGUGCCAAGUUGACAGGGAUGGAUUUAUUGACUUAAUUUGAGAUGUCAACUUGACUGAUUAAGGAAUGCCUGAAACCCUGGUAAAGCAUUAUUUUGGGUGUGUGUGAGGGUGUUUCCAGAGGACUGAGUAGACUCGGUGAGGAAGAUCUGCCCUUGAUAUUGGUGGACACCAUUCAAUUGGCCAACAAUCUGGAGAUAACAAAUAUAGAAGGCCAACUGGUCUCUCUCUGAGAGCUGGGACAGACUUUUCUUCUGCUGCCUUGGACAUCAGAACUCCAGGCUCACCAGCCUUUGCACUCCAGUACUUAACAGCAGCGGCCAUCUGGGUCCUGAGGCUUUUGGCCUCAGAGAGUAACACCAUUGUCUGCUGUGGUUCUCAAUAUAAAAACAUUGAAACUUCCUCAAUAAAUGAACAGAUUUCCUUUUUGUGUAUCUGCAUUUGUGAAAGACCAAAAUUUCUUGAGAUCUUGCCUUUUUGGGCCACUGCAUAUGCAGUGGUGACCUAUAGAGGUUUUUGAUUGAUCUUGUCAAAAGACAGGUUGUCCAUCACAGUAUUUCGGAUGACUGGAGUUAUAAAGCUAGGUACACACAACUACCAACCAUCAUGAUACAUGUUUAUACACUUUGUUUUUGGCAUAUUGCCUUAUGAAUACAGUUCAUCUGCUUGUAAUUGUUGUAAUCAUGUGACUGUUGUUAGAAUAGCUGAGUGCUUAUGUUUGCAAAGAUAUAUAUGUUAUUAUUGCCAAUUUUAUUGUGUAAAUUGGCCUCUGAAGUGCUCUGUCAGUUUUUAUAUGGUUCUCAAAUAAAUCUCCCUUAAAAAUGUAAAUAAAUGUUUUAAAGAUAAUUUCUUCUUAUUUUUUCCAGAAUUAUAUUUUUGGGAUUUUGAUCUUUCAGGAUUUCAAUAUUUGGGAUGGGUCUUUCAGGAUUAUGAUCAACCCCCUAUGUGGAACCAUACUGGGGAAACUAUGAACAAGAAUAAAAUCUCAGAAGCCUGGGAUUUUGACAUUGGAGGCAAAGGAAAAUCACAUCAGAGAGCCCUGCUCAGUGCAAAGAGCGCUAGGCCGGGUGCUGGAAGUGCUGACUUUCACUCAUGACUGCAGCUGCCCCACUGUGAUCCUGGGGAAGUGACCACUGUGAUCACUGUGGGUCUGAGUACUGUCAUCUGUUCACUUCCAUGUCCUUCCACUUCUGUGACUCUGUGAGGCUAACUCUGUUUCUAUUUUUUUUUUUUUUUUUGAGACGAAGUCUCAUUCUGUCGCCUAGGCUGGAGUGCAGCGGUGCAAUCUCGGCUCACUGCAACCGCCGCUUCCCGGGUUCAAGCGAUUCUCCUGCCUCAGCCUCCUGAGUAGCUGGAACUACAGGUACACACCACCACACCCGGCUAAUUUUUAUAUUUUUAGUAGAGACAGGGUUUCACGAUGUUGGCCAGGCUAGUCUUGAACUCCUGACCUCAAGUGAUCCACACCCGCCCCCCCCCGGUUUGGCCCCCCACAGUGCUGGGAUUACAGGCGUGAGCCACCACACCCCGUCGCCUAACUCUAUUUCUAAAAGCUCUGCCAGUUGGAGAUUUCUCUAGCCCACUAGAGUUUCUGGCUUUGGGGGACAGGGAGGGAAGGGAGGGGAAGCUGUGUUAUAAGAAGAAAGUUUAAAAAGUAAGCAUAAAUUAUUUGAGCUUUUAAGAGACAUUAACAAGCUACCAUACUGAGGGUAUUAAGAACACUAAAAUUUGUUUGGCUUUGGAUAGGGAAGCUACUGAAAUUGAAGAAGAAAAGAUGGGACUGAAUGAGCACUCCUUGGGUUGGAGAAAAACCAACAUGAUCAUUAUCUAAUCAUCAUCAUAAUAAUGAUAAUGGACAUUUGUAUAGCACUUGGCAGUUUACAAGUUACUUUCUUAUAAUAAUAAUUACCACUAUAUGGUACAUUACAGUAACAAAUACUUUUUAGGGCUUUACCCCGUUCCACUGUAAAAGUUGGUAUUAGUGGAGGAUGUAAAUAGACUUAUCUACAUGAUUAAGGAACUAGGAGGAGUGGAGGUUCAACACCAGCAGUUGGACAGCAAACAUCUUAGAAGACCAGGCACAUCUUCAGCCACACCCUUGGGUUCAACUUGGUGGUCUCCUGGUUGGGGUCAGGAGCAGAAGUGGGGCCAUGGCCUCCACUUCCCUUCCUGGGCAAUGUGCCUUUCUUUCAUCACCAUGGAGUCCUUGCCUUUGUUUUGUUUCUCCUUGUCAUUUAUUUCCAUUAACAUGCAGUGGUUUUUGUCCUUUCUCUUCCCGAUUGUCACUUUCCUCACCUAGAUAGAGAAGAACCAGCCCUCACCUAGCUCACUAGUCUGUAUCAGGCUCAAAUGAGGUGAUGUAUGUAAAAAGGUUUUGAGACGUUAAAAAGCACAGUCCAGAAAUACCUGAAAGCAUGUAAACUCUUACGAUUUGGGGGCUUAGCAGGACCAGGAAUUUGAUCUCAUUGCCUCCAGGUCAUAUCAUGACCCUCUAGGAUCCCUCCUCCCUGUCACACAUCCCUCUAUGGGCACAUUGAUUCCAGGAUUUCCAGAGUACAUCAGGGCUGAGCCGACCUCAUGGCCCUCGUGGAUUGUCUCUGAUAUGGUUUGGCUCUGCGUCCCUACCCAAAUGUUAUCUUGAAUUAUAAUCCCCACAUGUUAGGGAGGGACCUGGUGGGAGGUGACUCAAUCGUGGUGCGGUUUGCCCCAUGCUGUUCUCGUGAUGAUGAGUGAGUUCUCACGAGAUCUGACGGCUUAAAAGUGUGGCACUUCCUACCUCACUCUCUCUCUCUCUCCUGCUGCAUUGUGAAGAAACUGCUUGCUUCCCUCUCACCCUCUGCAGUUUCCUGAGGCCUCCCCAGCCAUGCGGAACGCCUGCUUCCAUAUCGUAAACUGCCUUGGAACCAAUUACCACUACCAGGGAGACAAACUAUUGCUUAGAGGAUGCUGACAGGAGCAGCAUGCCAAAAUUGGAAGAAAAUCAAGCCCAAGUUUUCCCUAUGGAUGAUGCAAAUUCAACUGCUGACUGACCACUAGGAACCCAAUCCAACAACCUGGUCAGUUCCCUCGGCGCAGGCCCAGCGCCUCCCAGGCCCACCUUCCUCACUUCUGUCAAGCCUCAUGGCAGCAUCUGCCCACAGAGGAAAGAGACAAAACCAUUACCAAUAAAAUUGUGAAGUUUUCCAAAACA